AUGGAAGGAGUUACUUUCAAGUGUGUUUUCAAAGGCAGCAGGGCUGAAAGAGCAGAGCAGCAGCCUGGUGAGGAAAGCACCAUGAGUUCCACUGUCAUCUUGACCCUGAUGACCCCUUCAUUUCACUUCCCUGAGCUGCAAAAACACAGAGAGCUGUGUGACUCUUGCUCACCCAGGGACAUGAAAAGGCAAUCAUGCAACAAAAACAAGUUGGAGGUCAGACAUGACAGUGAAGUCUUGUGGAAAGAGGAAGGGGGUGGAAUCCGUAUGGCGACCAAAGGGGAUGUGGAGCUGGAGUUGGAGGCUGAGACCAGCGGCCCAGAGAGGCCUCCUGAGAAGCCACGGAAACAUGACAGUGGCACGGCAGACCUGGAGCAGGUCACCGAUUAUGUGGAGGAGAAGGAGAUCCAGAGUUCCAAUCUGGAAACGGCCAUGUCUGUUAUUGGAGACAGACGGUCCCAUGAGCAGAAAGCCAAACAAGCAGGAGAAGGAACUGGCAAAAGUCACUAUCAAAAAGGAAGAUCCGGAGCUUAUAAUGACAGAGAUGGAGAUCUCUCUAGCAGCCGCAGAAAGGAGCUUGCGAGAACACAUGGGCAAUGUGGUAGAGGCUCUCAUUGCCCUAACCAACUGAUAUGUGCUUUCUCAUCUACACCUACUGUAUUAACUUAUUGCAAUAAAGAUUUUUUUGUCUUUU